AGGUACAGACGGAGAAGUUGAAAAGUCCAGAUCCGGGUGAACAAAUUAUGGGAUCUAAGGAAGAUAGAAGAUGAUGACAGACAGAAAUGCAGAGGAAUUUGGAUCUGAGAGAGAUGUAGAGACUAGAGAGACUGUUUAUUUUUGAGAGAGAGAGAUAGA